GGGACAGGUGGGCAGCCUGCCCUGAGAGCCCCAGGACGGUGACCCAGAGAAGGGGCUUCUGCUGGAAGACUCUUGAGCCACAGCAGCCACUGGGCCUGCUCACCCAGGAUCAGGCGGCAUUCUGGGUAUCUCCCUGCACAAGUCUUAGACACAACAUCUAUUUGUCAUUGAAAAGACAAGCAACCGUGCUCCCCUGGCAUUCAUAAAAGGCGUCUACUCAUUCAAGCAUUCGCCAACUCAUUCAAUCUGCAUUAUGGGGUCCCUACUGC